GACAGAGGGUGCAAACGUUGUUCGGAAUUACUGGGCGUAAAGCGUGCGCAGGCGGUUUUGUAAGUCUGUCGUGAAAUCCCCGGGCUCAACCUGGGAAUUGCGAUGGAGACUGCAAGGCUAGAAUCUGGCAGAGGGGGGUAGAAUUCCACGUGUAGCAGUGAAAUGCGUAGAGAUGUGGAGGAACACCGAUGGCGAAGGCAGCCCCCCUGGGUCAAGAUUGACGCUCAUGCACGAAAGCGUGGGGAGCAAACAGG
rnacentral:rRNA from 1 species